ACAAAAUAUAUUUACCUUUUACAUAUACUGUAUACAUGUAUUUUAAUAGGCAAUAUAGAAAAUACAUUUUUAUAUUCACUGUUUUUAAUAAAACAUCAUUUGAUAAGUAGAAGAUAGAUGUAAUUGUGUUAUUUUUUUAUUGAUAAUCAUAUUUAGUAAUAGCACUCUUUUAAAAUAUUCAGAUUCAGCAUGGCAAUGGUGCAGUUAUGGUCUGUUGUUGAGUUUCCAGACCAAGGCACUGACGUUGUACCAAGUUGUUAGUUAGCAGGUGGGACAUGUUGUUGGCCACAUUACAGCUCAUCCCAUUUUAAAAGGGCUGCGAAGAGGUGGAGCCUGUUGGAGAUGGUUGGAAAGUAUAUGCGCCAGUCAAGAUCUUGAAACAGUGUGGUAAGUGAUCCCUUGCAUUCAUGAUUCUCUAAAUUAAGCCUUGUAAUUUCUAACAUGGUAAUGUUAUAGCAAUUUGAAUUAUUUACUAAUGAUACCAAAAAUAGCUAGCAAAAUACAUUUCUUCAUGACAAAAGUAAGUUAUGUAAAUGAUGUGAUGUUCUUUUGUACUGAAUAAUGGGCUUAAGAGUGUGUAUUCAUUUAAAUAUCCCAUGUCAGUCAACUAAAUAUGUUACUAACAAUUUUUCAUUUUCUCAAGCAGUCUCCCUAGAGAAGGCUCACUGUUACCUCAGAAAAUCAGUUGACCCUAGUGUCAGCACCUCUGAGCUUGUAACGGAAGAUGAAAACUUUGAAAGGAAAAAAAGGUUAUUUGAAAUGUAUCAAUUUAAGCAUACAUACAGCUUACAUUAAUGAAGUCUUUAAUAUAUAUCUAUUAUAUAAGUAUUUAUAUUUUUGACAAAAGCAUUUAAUUGUUUACCUACAGGCCCAAUGUACGUUAUGAAGAUGCAGCUGUUUCAGAAGAUGAAUGCCGCAAAAAAACUUUUCUAUCAGCUGCACCAAGGGUUAAAUUAACAAGUAAUUCACAGACUUUCAUAAAUGCUGAUUAAUAAGCAAAAUUUGCCCUCAGGUGUAACAGUUAAUCAUUUCAGAGUCACUUGUGGUAUAAUUCAUAUGUGGUCUUGCAUUAUGUCUUCAUAUGUGUUUAGCUUUAAUGAGGUAAUAUUAAAGCUAAAACUAAAUAUUUUUUGCAGUUUAUUUUAUUUUUCUAGCCAGCAGGCAGCAUGUCACUCUGUAUCUAGUAAAUUGCCUCAAUGCUCUAUGGAGCUCUCAUCAUCAUCUUGCAGCACAACCCCAUCCCCUAUCCAAGAAAGGAUACCCUGCCACUUGAUGAAUGGCAGUUUUUUUUAUUUUUUUAAAUCUUUUUAGUCAACAUUUUGAUAAGUUAUGGAGAUACUGUACAGUAAAUUGGUUUAAAAUAUUGCACGCGGCAUUUUAAAGUAAAUACUGUAGUCACAAGUGUCUCUUAUGGGAACCACAUUGUGUUAUGUUAGAUAUCAUAGACACAGCUGAUUUUCCAUUACUAGACUGAUUUUUAUUUUAUUUUAUUUUAUUUCAGACACACCUCCCAGCUACAAUUCUUGUUGUCAUUGCCCAGUUAAACAAAUUCAGCAAAGAAUACCUAGCCAGUCAAUGAAUGGCAAUUUUUUUUGAUAGGUUAUAGGGAUACAGUUAAUUGUGGUAAAAUAUUGCACAUGACACUGAAAUAAAUAGUUGCAAGUGGGCCUUAUAUGGAAACCAAUUUGUUUCAUAUUCAAUUAUUUUAUAGUUUUUUUUCUAUCGCUGAAUAUAUUUAGAUUUAUUUUUCAGUAACAUCUAGAAUGAGUAUGCUGCCAUCGUGCACGAAGUGGAAUAAAUGCCAAAGGUAGAAAUAAAAGAUGAAAUGAAGCAGCACAGGGCCAUUUUACAUGAGCUGCAGGCCAAAGGCAGUGUGACAGACACACCAGAAUCACUGUCACCUGCCUAUCAUGUCACUUGAACAGCUUCAAGACAUUGAGAAGUGCUUGGAGGAUUAACAAAUGAAAAAUAAUUUGCUGGCUCAUCUGUCCCUGAUGGGUGGUCGCUGUUUGGAUGCUGCAAGCAGUGCUGAUGAAUAGAGGGGCCUGCGAACUGAAUUGGGCAGGUCGUGGCAGGAAGCAAAGUUUUCAGCAGACCAAGCUUCAGGAAGUCAUGUUUCGUAUGUUAUCAUUGUUAUACUUUUAAACUCUUUGUUUGGUAUACCUGUGUUUGUUAGUGUUAUAGUUUACCAGGAUCAAGAUGCUUUAAAACGGUUAUAUUAAUCAACUAAAUCUAAGACUUUACAGCAGAAAAUUGAUUUUGACUGGAUCUGCUAUUUAGGACAGUUUUUGGCCUUGUUUCCUAUAGAAACUAAGGCUUAUGAAAUAAUUCUGUCUGUGUGUGCAUGUCUGUUUCUGCCCCCCCUUACCUUUUCAUCCUGCAGGCAGAUUUCAACCAAAUUUGGCAGAAUCCCAUAAAUUACAAUAGGUACACUAUUUACUGCCUUUAUAACUGAGACCGUGUGUAUAUCCCUAGACACCAAAGAAUUGUGAUGUCAAUUAACAAGUCAUCCUAAACACACCCAUAGGAAACUAGGCUUUAUUAGUUUGGGUCCUGCCCAGAACUGUUUGUUUUUUGUUUGUUUCUUCUGAUUACAAAUAGAAUAUGGGGUUUGCUUUGUGUUUUCAAGAGCUUUGAGAAAAAGCCCUUUGGGCAAAGAUGCAACACAAGCCAUGUUUACAGAUGUCAUUAAGAAACGGCUGAGAUACACACCAGAUAGAGAAGAGGGAACAGGUCGCUAAGGGACACACCAGCAACAGCAAUCAUUUUUUGGAAUAGUUUUCUAAACCUUUUGACAACAGUCACUUAAUUGUUCUAUGCACCCUGCUCUAUAAACUACGAGGCCAACGCAAAAAAUAAAUAAAUAAAUAAAAUCAAAAUCUUUGUUUUCUCGAGAACCUGAGAGAAAUGAUCUGAGGAUCUCGAUAUUACCAUUUUGUUUUCUCAAAAUCCUUAGAAAUUAUUUCAGAAAAACGGAAGUAAUGACUUCCAUUUUCUCUAAAGACUAAGAUAAUUUAUCUCAGUAUCUGAGAAAACGAAAUGGUAAUAUUGAGAUCCUGAGACAUUUAUCUCAGGAUCUCGAGAAAACCAACUUAAUCAAUUGGUGAUGUGAUCUUGGUUUUAUCAGAAUAUUUACCAGUAAUUAAAUACGAAGUUACACAUUAUUUUACUGUAAUUUUCAAAAUUCACGUCAGGUUUAAGUAAGUUACAU